rnacentral:tRNA from 1 species
GCCUGGGUGGCUCAGUCGGUUAAGUGUCUGACUUGGGCUCAGAUCAUGAUCUCACAGUUCGUGGGUUCGAGCCCCACGUGGGGCU